rnacentral:rRNA from 1 species
UACGAAGGGGGCUAGCGUUGCUCGGAAUCACUGGGCGUAAAGGGCGCGUAGGCGGACUUUUAAGUCGGAGGUGAAAGCCCAGGGCUCAACCCUGGAAUUGCCUUCGAUACUGGGAGUCUUGAGUUCGGAAGAGGUUGGUGGAACUGCGAGUGUAGAGGUGAAAUUCGUAGAUAUUCGCAAGAACACCGGUGGCGAAGGCGGCCAACUGGUCCGAAACUGACGCUGAGGCGCGAAAGCGUGGGGAGCGAACCGG